rnacentral:sRNA from 1 species
GUUCUUUUUCGUCCUUUUCUCCGGUUGCCGCUUGCUGUGAGUGUCUCUAGGGUGGUACGGGGGUGAGAAGGGUCCCGGUCCGCGCCAGCGCCCAGCGCGCCUCGUCGCCAUGCCUCGGAAAAUUGAAGAAAUUAAGGACUUCCUGCUCACAGCUCGACGGAAGGAUGCCAAAUGUAAGUAGUUGCUUCGAAGGUUCAAGAUGAGCUGUGGUUACCUUGGCACUGCUCCGGGAGCAUCUUACCCGGAAUGUCAGGCAGGAGACGGGUUAGGCAGUCUGGGUGUGUGCCUGGCCCUCUGGGAGCAGUGGUUUUAUCCUGUUUCCCAUGAGAAAGAUCUGUGUGGGGCACGUUGAGGCCCUGGAAUUUCUAGGACUAUCUUUAGCUAAUCGCGAGUAUCUCAGGGGCUGCCCUGUGUUGUUUUCUUUUGUAUAAUACAGAAAAUUCUCGGAACGGAAUCUCCACUGCGCGAAAGCCUCAAGACACACGUCCCAUAAACACUGAGUUUAGGUUCUCUGCAGUUGUGCAAAAUCUUAAACCCAUUUUGUAAUAAAGUGCUGGAUAUCUGCAUGUAA